GAGUGCGAUUAUACUAGCACUAAAGUAUUGGAUCCCAUCAGAACUCUAAAGUUAAGCAUGCUUGGGCGAGAGUAGUACUAGGAUGAGAGACCCCAUAGGAAGUCCACGUGUUACACUCC